rnacentral:lncRNA from 1 species
GUUGGAAUAAAGAAGAGAGAAAGUGUAGACAAAGCGCUGAAACAGAAAAGAGACUCGUUGUUUCUUAAUCUCUCAAUUCCAGUACUUAAAAUCAGAUAACCUAGUGCCAUUAUAUAGGCUUACAACUUAACAAAUAAACCUAAAAACUAGGAACUAAAGCAAAAGUGGUUCUGCUGAGGUAAACUGCUGCCAACAACAUGCCCACUAACAGUAAC